CAGGUAGUUCUCCAUCUUCAAAUCUCCUUCAAGCUGUCAAAGUCAUGUCUCGCGAGUAUGAUGAAUUUGACUAUGAGAGGCAAUCAAAUUUUGAUACUGUUAGCUCUCAAGCUGCCUCUGUCUCGGUUGAUGAUGCUAGUAAUACCGGCACUAUCAAUCCUUCUGUUAAUAAACGUCAAAGAACCGCAGAUUCUGCUCCCAAAUCACUCACAUUCUCACUCCUCCC